GUCAUAUUAAUAUAUAUAUAUAUAUUACUUAUUAGUCAUAUUAGAACAUUUUGCCAAUUAUAAUAUAAUCCACAGAACUCAAUGAACGAGUCACAAAGAUUCAUCCCUUUCGAACAGAGAAUACAUUCAUGACCAAACACAUUGGGUGAAAACUCUACGACUAUACCAUAAAACGUCCUCCAGAUCUCAUAAAGUAUUAUAUUUACUUUAUAGUUUAAUUAUCCUUUUUAGGGUUAAUAUUUUCACAAUAAUUUUAUGAUGCGAUAUAUAUUCAACGCAUGCGCAGCUAAUCCUGGCCAGCAUGUGUUAGCCCAACAAGAUAAGGCGUGCUGUUAUGGUACAACUUUCGCUGAAAUCCGGUCCUGCAACAGCAACCCCGGGACGGCGGGAUUUUCUGCUUGCCCUCAGCCUGCUGAGGAGCAAUACAAUUUGGACUCGCUUAUAUUAUACAUGCAGGUACUUAAACAAAUACAGAACUAACUUACAGGUGUAGAAUUACGCGCAGACUUCGCAUGUAGGCCUACACUUGUAUAAAACAUGCACAACGUAUAUGUGCCUGAUUAAAAUAUUGGUUGUUAUGGUGGGGUUACGUGAUAAAAAUAUAAUUUUAGCAACUAUGUUGGCAAUGUAAUUAAACAAACAGCUUAACAAAAAACUCAUCGCUAGAAAUCGUGGAAUUUGGAAUUCAACGUGCAU